rnacentral:rRNA from 1 species
UUCCGGGGUUAUUGGGCGUAAAGCGCGCGCAGGCGGUUUCUUAAGUCUGAUGUGAAAGCCCCCGGCUCAACCGGGGAGGGUCAUUGGAAACUGGGGAACUUGAGUGCAGAAGAGGAGAGUGGAAUUCCACGUGUAGCGGUGAAAUGCGUAGAGAUGUGGAGGAACACCAGUGGCGAAGGCGACUCUCUGGUCUGUAACUGACGCUGAGGCGCGAAAGCGUGGGGAGCGAACAGGAUUAGAUACCCUGGUAGUCCACGCCGUAAACGAUGAGUGCUAAGUGUUAGAGGGUUUCCGCCCUUUAGUGCUGCAGCAAACGCAUUAAGCACUCCGCCUGGGGAGUACGGUCGCAAGACUGAAACUCAAAGGGAAUGACGGA